GCAUUGGUAGUGUAACGGUUAUCAUUGGGUCUUCCCAUCAGAAAUGAAGCUGGCCUAGAUCCGGGUUCGACUCCCGGCCAAUGCA